UCCACGAUUCGGUACCAGCCGUUGGGGUAGACCGGGGGCAGGUCUCCGGUCUUCCUGCGGCGGCGCGUGUCGUUGGCGGCGCGGGCUUUAGAGCGGCCGUCAUGGGCGAAGUAGCCCACGUCUUCGGGCGCCUUGAGGAGCUCCAGCGGGCCGGACAGCAGCUUGUAGACUGCGGCCAACAGGAGGAGGGUCACCGCGCUCAGGAGGAACACGCCGGCGUGUCCCGGAGCACAUAAUUCGAGCGCGGCGUCUCUCCAGGGGGAUGAGUCGGUGGCCACUACCGGGGCCUGCGGUUCUCCGGCCUGCAUGACCGGUGUUGUGCCGAAUUCUGCACCCCCGCCGUAAAAUGCACCCCCUGUCGGGAGCGCGCUUACGUCACUCGGUUGCAUCACCCGUCUCGAAAAGUAGCUAAACUCGGCUAAAAUCGCCUCUUUCGGCAUAAAAAUGUACAUAACAAGGUGAAUAAUCCAAGUUGUCUUUACUUUGGAUAUAUUAAUGGAUGGAUUAAUUGUGAUUCUUCAAUGAUUUCGCCGUCAUUGCCUUUAAUGAUUUCGUCGUCAUUCAGAGACAUCAAGGAGAACGAAUGUUUGCUGCUUCACUCGACGGGAUCCAAUACAUGUAUUUUAAAAAUAUGACAUUUUCUUUAACUGUAAGAAGCUCAUGGGUGGAUGGAUGAAUACAUUAAUAAAUGAAUGCAUCUGA